rnacentral:rRNA from 1 species
UACCUGGGGUGCAAACGUUGCUCGGAAUUAUUGGGCGUAAAGCGCACGUAGGCGGGUUGUUAAGUCGGAUGUGAAAUCCCUCGGCUCAACUGAGGAAGUGCAUCCGAAACUGGCAAGCUUGAGUACGAAAGAGGGUCGCGGAGUUCCCGGUGUAGAGGUGAAAUUCGUAGAUAUCGAGAGGAACACCGGUGGCGAAGGCGGCCUUCUGGACAGUGACUGACGCUGAGACGCGAAAGCGUGGGGAGCAAACAGG